AUUGAACGCUGGCGGCAUGCUUUACACAUGCAAGUCGAACGGUAACAGGCCGCAAGGUGCUGACGAGUGGCGAACGGGUGAGUAAUGCAUCGGAACGUGCCCAGUCGUGGGGGAUAACGCAGCGAAAGCUGUGCUAAUACCGCAUACGAUCUAUGGAUGAAAGCGGGGGACCGUAAGGCCUCGCGCGAUUGGAGCGGCCGAUGUCAGAUUAGGUAGGUGGUGGGGUAAAGGCUCACCAAGCCAACGAUCUGUAGCUGGUCUGAGAGGACGACCAGCCACACUGGGACUGAGACACGGCCCAGACUCCUACGGGAGGCAGCAGUGGGGAAGUUUGGACAAUGGGCGCAAGCCUGAUCCAGCAAUGCCGCGUGCAGGAAGAAGGCCUUCGGGUUGUAAACUGCUUUUGUACGGAACGAAAAGGUUUGGGUUAAUACCCUGGGCCGAUGACGGUACCGUAAGAAUAAGCACCGGCUAACUACGUGCCAGCAGCCGCCGUAA
rnacentral:rRNA from 1 species